CAGGAAAAGCCUGCUGGGCAUGGGGGUGGGAAGGCAGGACCGGAGGACAGAGGCCCGGUGUCAUUAGGGGUGACUGCCUCGGCGCCUCAGAAACGGGUAUCUGCACGGCCCCCAGGCUGGUUUUCUUCAGGUCCCUGGGAUGUUUCCAGGUUGGCUGGCCCUAUUUAGAAAGAGCAAUUUAACAUGAUGAGAUCCUAUGUGGCAUUUCUGCAUGAGGGCAGAGGCCAAGCGCAGAUGACACAGCCCUUGUGCCCAGACGGCCUAUGGCCUGCUCCUCUCCCUCCUGGCACCCAGACUGAGGACAGCUGUGGGGACACUCCCAGGCCUUUGGGGUUGUUGGGGCCCAGGUGGUGUGCAUGCUGCUGCUGAAGGGACGUCCUUCCCAGAUGCCAAGGGAGACAAGCUACCCUGGGGAUCUGCACUACCAAAUUCAGGAGACUAAAGAGAGCUGUGGCCGACAGCAUGGGCAGCCACAGUGAGCAAAUGUUCUCCUCCCCCUGUGCUAAAGCAGAGGCAAAGAAGGGCGGCGAGGUGCCGUGACGCUACAGCUACGUGGCCGAGGAAUGCAGACCACCGCUUGGAGCCCGAGGACAUCCUUCUGCCCCCCCAAACAGCAUCCCACUUAGGGCAAGGGCAGCUCAUGCUUUGAAUACAAUUUUUGAAUCAUUCCAUUAUUCCCAUUUACUC